UACGGAGGGUGCGAGCGUUGUCCGGAAUCACUGGGCGUAAAGGGCGCGUAGGCGGUCGUGUAAGUCACUUGUGAAAUCCCGGGGCUCAACUCCGGGGCUGCAGGUGAGACUGCAUGGCUAGAGCACAGUAGAGGCGAGUGGAAUUCCCGGUGUAGCGGUGGAAUGCGUAGAUAUCGGGAAGAACACCGGUGGCGAAGGCGGCUCGCUGGGCUGUUGCUGACGCUGAUGCGCGAAAGCGUGGGGAGCAAACAGG
rnacentral:rRNA from 1 species